AACCUCCGCAAUGUGAGAAAUCGCGACGGGGGGAUCCCAAGUGCCAUUCUUAACGGGAUGGCUUUUCAUUAGUGUAAAGAGCUUUUGGAAUAAGAGCUGGGCAAGACCGGUGCCAGCCGCCGCGGUAACACCGGCAGCUCUAGUGGUAACAAUUUUUAUUGGGCCUAAAGCGUCCGUAGCCGGUUUAAUAAGUCUCUGGUGAAAUCCUGUAGCUUAACUGUGGGAAUUGCUGGAGAUACUAUUAGACUUGAGACCGGGAGAGGUUAGAGGUACUCCCAGGGUAGAGGUGAAAUUCUGUAAUCCUGGGAGGACCGCCUGUUGCGAAGGCGUCUAACUGGAACGGUUCUGACGGUGAGGGACGAAAGUUAGGGGCGCGAACCGGAUUAGAUACCCGGGUAGUCCUAACUGUAAACGAUGCGGACUUGGUGUUGGGGUGGCUUUGAGCUGCUCCAGUGCCGAAGGGAGGCUGUUAAGUCCGCCGCCUGGGAAGUACGGUCGCAAGACUGAAACUUAAAGGAAUU
rnacentral:rRNA from 1 species